GACGUAGGGCGCGAGCGUUUGUCCGGAUUUAUUGGGCGUAAAGAGCUCGUAGGCGGCUUGUCGCGUCGUUCGUGAAAAACCUGCAGCUCAACUGCAGGCUUGCGGUCGAUACGGGCAGGCUGGAGUUCGGUAGGGGGAGACUGGAAUUCCUGGUGUAGCGGUGAAAAUGCGCAGAUAUCAGGGAGGGAAACACCCGGGUGGGCGAAAGGGCGGGGGUCUCUUGGGGGCC
rnacentral:rRNA from 1 species